rnacentral:rRNA from 1 species
UACGUAGGGGGCAAGCGUUAUCCGGAUUUACUGGGUGUAAAGGGAGCGCAGACGGUGUGGCAAGUCUGAUGUGAAAUGCGGGGGCUUAACUCCCGAGCUGCAUUGGAAACUGCCGUACUGGAGUGCCGGAGGGGUAAGCGGAAUUCCUAGUGUAGCGGUGAAAUGCGUAGAUAUUAGGAGGAACACCAGUGGCGAAGGCGGCUUACUGGACGGUAACUGACGUUGAGGCUCGAAAGCGUGGGGAGCAAAC